UGCUUUUGAUUUUUUAUUCCUUUAUUAAGAUUUGUGAAUAAAUAUCUGAGCUGCCUGCAGAAGCAGCAGAAAUACACAAUCAGAAGAAAACAAGACGACAGCGAAAACACUUUACAUUCAGAAUACUUCAGCACACGACAAGCGGAUUCCUGCAGAUCCUUUGUGCUUCUUGACAUCUGGAAUUUAUUUGUUCAAACACACUUCUUCCUGGAGAUUAAAAUCACACACACACACACACACAAUGGUUCAAGUAUAACAGAUCCUGCCCUGCAAGAUAAAGCUUUCUGCAUACUUCAUUAGAACAGAGAACUUUAUUCAUGUUCUGGAGGUGGAAAGAUUAAACCCAAGUGAACAUUAAUUCAAUGAAUUCAAUAUAUUGUGAAGCAUCUUUUGAUUGAGCCCGUUUUGUGCAAUAGGAAUAAAAACAUGUUUAUUCUAAUCAGUAGUGUCAGAAAUCAGGCACAAUUGCGAUGCAAUACACGAUAUUGGUUUCACGAGAUCGAUACGAUAUUCUGAAAAAGGAAUUCAAUUACUAUUUAUUUAAUUAAUACAUUAAAAUUCAUUCAACUUUGAACUUUUAAAGUUUUUAUAUUGAACACAAAAAUAAAUUAAACAAAAUAAAUACAACAUUUCCUUUUGAAAGUGCAAAAAAAAACUAGAGGCAAACGGCUAAGAGAUGCUCCUCAUCAUCAUCAUCAUCAUCAUCACAUAUUCACACGAGACAUAAGCAGCUUUUAUCGCAGCGGGGCCACAAACGUGAUAGUAUCUGAUCUGAGGGUCACAUGAUCAAUAUUCAUGUCAACAUUAGAAUAAUGAGCAAUGUGAACAUUAACACAGGAAACGACAAAGGGCUUUUGUGCUUGUUUAUUGUAUGUUUUGAGUCCAAAUGUCUGUUUUUCAGGUAUUGUGCGUAUUUGUCAUGCAUUUUAUGCAUUUUUAGUGUCAUUUUGUUGUCAUAUAUGUUUUUUGUUGUAGCUUUCUGUGUUAGUGGAUGUUUUGUGUGUUCCCUAAUUUUUGUUGUUGUUUUGAGUGCUUUUAGAGUCAUUUCGUAGCUGUUUUGUAGAUUCAAAAAAUAACUUGUAAUUUUUAUUAAACGUUUUUGUUGUAAUUCAGUUAUUUUCGGUCAUUUUGUGUGUUUACGAAGGCUGCCAGUUGCCCCCGUCUGUUAUAGACGUUUUCUAUCUGAAUGAUUUCCAUAAUUCACUGUUUAAAACCCUCAUUCUACACCAUGGACUGUUGGUGGUCCACAAACAUGCCUAUGCUGCACCUCAUCUACUAGAAAAACAACAAUAAUGGAGGGUAAAAAGAGGAAGCGUGUGAGAAUCUGAAGGGAAAAUCAAAAGUUCUCGAUUAUUAUGAAGUAUGUGAAAGGCUUGAAGCUCCGUCAGUGCGUUUCUGCGCUCAACAUGAACUUCUGGCAGUGACCGAAAACAACCUCGGCUUUGGCUGCCCUGCUUACAUUGCUUUACUUCAUUUACAAAAAAAAAAAAAAACACCGGAAAAACUAAAAUAAAUAAUACAUCAACCUAAAAUAAAGCUUCUUU
rnacentral:lncRNA from 1 species